rnacentral:rRNA from 1 species
UACGGGGGGAGCAAGCGUUGUUCGGAUUUACUGGGCGUAAAGGGCGCGUAGGCGGUAGCACAAGUCAGUUGUGAAAUCUCCGGGCUUAACUCGGAAAGGUCAACUGAUACUGUGCGACUAGAGUGCAGAAGGGGCAACUGGAAUUCUCGGUGUAGCGGUGAAAUGCGUAGAUAUCGAGAGGAACACCUGCGGCGAAGGCGGGUUGCUGGGCUGACACUGACGCUGAACAGCGAAAGCGUGGGGAGCGAACAGG